rnacentral:rRNA from 1 species
ACGAACGCUGGCGGCGUGCCUCAUACAUGCAAGUAGAACGCUGAAGGAGGAGCUUGCUUCUCUGGAUGAGUUGCGAACGGGUGAGUAACGCGUAGGUAACCUGCCUGGUAGCGGGGGAUAACUAUUGGAAACGAUAGCUAAUACCGCAUAAUAGUAGAUGUUGCAUGACAUUUGCUUAAAAGGUGCAAUUGCAUCACUACCAGAUGGACCCGCGUUGUAUUAGCUAGUUGGUGGGGUAACGGCUCACCAAGGCGACGAUACAUAGCCGACCUGAGAGGGUGAUCGGCCACACUGGGACUGAGACACGGCCCAGACUCCUACGGGAGGCAGCAGUAGGGAAUCUUCGGCAAUGGACGGAAGUCUGACCGAGCAACGCCGCGUGAGUGAAGAAGGGUGUCGGAUCGUAAAGCUCUGUUGUAAGAGAAGAACGAGUGUGAGAGUGGAAAGUUCACACUGUGACGGUAUCUUACCAGAAAGGGACGGCUAACUACGUG